rnacentral:rRNA from 1 species
CCCUUAGAUGUUCUGGGCCGCACGCGUGCUACACCGAGUGGAUCAGCGGGUCAGGUUGCGCGAAAGUGUUUCCUAAUCUUUAAAUCCGCUCGUGAUGGGGAUUGACGGUUGCAAUUUUCUGUCAUGAACGAGGAAUACCUUGUAAGCGCGGGUCAUCAUCCCGCGCUGAAUACGUCCCUGCCCUUUGUACACACCGCCCGUCGCUCCUACCGAUUGAGUGGUCCGGUGAGGCUUUGGGAUCUGAGCGGAAAGAGCGUUUCGCUGUUUCUGCUCGGAAAACUCAGUCGAACCUUAUCAUUUAGAGGAAGGAGAAGUCGUAACA